AGUGAACGCUGGCGGUAGGCCUAACACAUGCAAGUCGAACGGCAGCACAGUAAGAGCUUGCUCUUACGGGUGGCGAGUGGCGGACGGGUGAGGAAUACAUCGGAAUCUACUUUUUCGUGGGGGAUAACGUAGGGAAACUUACGCUAAUACCGCAUACGACCUACGGGUGAAAGCAGGGGAUCUUCGGACCUUGCGCGAUUGAAUGAGCCGAUGUCGGAUUAGCUAGUUGGCGGGGUAAAGGCCCACCAAGGCGACGAUCCGUAGCUGGUCUGAGAGGAUGAUCAGCCACAGUGGAACUGACACACGGUACAGACUCCUACGGGAGGCAGCAGUGGGGAAUAUUGGACAAUGGGCGCAAGCCUGAUCCAGCCAUAGCGCGUGGGUGAAGAAGGCCUUCGGGUUGUAAAGCCCUUUUGUUGGGAAAGAAAAGCAGCAGGUUAAUACCCGGCUGUUCUGACGGUACCCAAAGAAUAAGCACCGGCUAACUUCGU
rnacentral:rRNA from 1 species